GUCGACAAGUUAGCCAAUCCUAGGGUAUCCACCCAUCAGUUUGUGGUUUUGUUUCAAUACGUUUUGCUUGCUCUGGUGGUUGAGUGGUGCGAAAAGGCAACACUUGUGCCAGACUGACUGACUGAUUAGUUGUCGCUGGCUAUUUGCUAUUUGCUGUUUGGAUACAUUCGAAGCUGCCUCCGCUUCGUGAGUAAUUCAAUCUUAUAAUGCUCGAGACUGGCCAGCUUACUUGAAUCAUCUGCCCCAAGUGCAAUGGACUUCUCAAGUAACCGCUUUCCCGACUUGCAGACUGCUGGUUGAAGUGGGGGAGCAACGAUGAGCACGGAAAAUGAUGAUGGCGAUGACGAGGUACCGACGAAAUGAGCCAAGUGACCAAAUACAAUUUCCGGGUGAAGGCAAACAGCUGAGUCUGCUUAAUGUACACAGAACCAACGUGGCGAACUUCAACAAAACGAUUUUAGCAGCUUGAGUUGUUGUUUGUUUUGAUUAAAAAUUAAGCAUGUCCUGGUCAGUGGGAAUGGGAAUGGGACCGGUACUGGGACUGGGACUGGGACAGGACCUACAGUACGUGCUCGGCCUGGGGAAUUAGGCGGCCAGCAGAAGUAAAUGCGCUCCGUAAUAAAUUCAAAUCAACUUUGGGUGUCCGACUACAUGGUCAUCAAAUCGAUUGGAACACAAAGUCACACCCACGCACACGCGCACACUGGAAAGUCCUGUCCCAGGAUGCUCUUUAGUUUUUGCCAGCUAUAAAUUUUAGCUGCUGGGUCCCUUUUUGGCUUCCGUUUUACAAUGUUCACUUUGCAGAUCCAACGUGGACUUUGGCCCGACUUAAGCGCAUUACGGACUCCGGCGGAUAUUCCGGGACUCGGACUCGAACUCGGAUCCGGAUUCGAACGGAGGGCAGAGUCUUUUAAUGUCUUAUCGCUUGUGCAAAUAAAGAAGCGUCCAAUGGCAUUCGGCUCAAGUCUUGUUAGCCUGGCUAAGCAA